rnacentral:rRNA from 1 species
AAUCAACGCUGGCGGCGUGCCUAACACAUGCAAGUCGAGCGAGAAAAGGGGAGCAAUCCCCUGAGUACAGCGGCGCACGGGUGAGUAACACGUGGGUCAUCUGCCCUGGAGUGGGGAAUAACACCGGGAAACCGGCGCUAAUACCGCAUACGAUCACAGAGUCUGCGGAUUUUGUGCUGAAAGGAGCAAUUCGCUCUAGGAGGAGCCCGCGGCUGAUUAGCUAGUUGGUGAGGUAAUGGCUCACCAAGGCAACGAUCAGUAUCCGGUCUGAGAGGACGGUCGGACACACUGGAACUGAGACACGGUCCAGACUCCUACGGGAGGCAGCAGUGGGGAAUUUUUGGCAAUGGGGGCAACCCUGACCAAGCAACGCCGCGUGGGUGAUGAGGUCUCUUGGGACGUAAAACCCUUUCGACGGGGACGAAACCGCAAGGUUGACGGUACCCGUAGAAGAAGCCCCGGCUAACUCCGUGCCAGCAGCCGCUGUAA